UGCGAAAGUAGUACAGUGGUUAGUACUCCACGUUGUGGCCGUGGCGGCACAGGUUCGAUUCCUGUCUUGGGCA